rnacentral:rRNA from 1 species
UACGAAGGGGGCUAGCGUUGUUCGGAAUUACUGGGCGUAAAGCGCGCGCAGGCGGCUAUCCAAGUCAGUGGUGAAAGCCCGGAGCUCAACUCCGGAACUGCCAUUGAAACUGUUUAGCUUGAGGACGAGAGAGGUGAGUGGAAUUCCCAGUGUAGAGGUGAAAUUCGUAGAUAUCGGGAGGAACACCUGUGGCGAAAGCGGCUCACUGGACCACAACUGACGCUGAUGCACGAAAGCUAGGGGAGCAAACAGG